UGGGAAGAAUCUGUUUAUAAGUCUUUGCUUUGCCAGAUCACCUGUGGUCGAGAUGUCUGCUAACAAGAUGCCUUGUUGAUCUGGGCGAGUUUGAAGUCUCUCACAGACAGUCCAGAAGGUCUGGAGUCCAUCUUAGCUUUUAUUGAUGCUGUCAUCAGGUUUUAAGUACAGUAUGAGCCAGAAUGGAAGGGUGUUGGUGGCCAUAAGAAGACUGUGAGCUAAACCUACAACAAAAUUCAUAUUUGCAGUUUUCCUAGAAUAUUUUUUUUCUAUUCAGAUGAAUAAAA